UGCGCGAAUUCAGCAAAUCCAUCGGAAUCUUCCACCCAAAACCACCGCCGCCAGCAGACCCAUCGCAAUCCUCCACCCAUAUCAUAAAUGCGACAAACUUUAAACAGUAAUUAAACCAUAAAUCAAACACCACUAAUUCUACAAACACCAAAUUAAACAAAAACGAAGGCCGUCGUCGGGCUUCAAACAAGUGAAAGCAUGGUUGUUAAAUUGCAAAUCGAAUCGUAAAAACACGAAAAUCAUUUUGCUAUUUAAGAAUUGCAAAUCACCGAACCGUAAAAAAAAACUGUAUAAAAUCACGGUAGAUCGAAAAGGCAGAAGACUCGAAACGAAUGGCAACAACAAAAUUUCAAACCAGAAGAAAAGGGAAAAAAUACCUCAGCUUCUGCUGAUUUUGUGUGUGUAAUUUGUGUGUGUGUGUGUCUGUGUGUUUGUGUGUGCGAGAGAAAGAGGAGAGAGAUAGAGAGAGAGAAGAGAUAAUAUUUGUGUGUGUGUGUGCCUGUGUGUUUGUGUGUGCGAGAGAAAGAGG
rnacentral:lncRNA from 1 species